ACGUACACUCCUACGGGAGGCAGCAGUGGGGAAUAUUGGACAAUGGGCGCAAGCCUGAUCCAGCCAUGCCGCGUGAGUGAUGAAGGCCCUAGGGUUGUAAAGCUCUUUCACCGGUGAAGAUAAUGACGGUAACCGGAGAAGAAGCCCCGGCUAACUUCGUGCCAGCAGCCGCGGUAAUACGAAGGGGGCUAGCGUUGUUCGGAUUUACUGGGCGUAAAGCGCACGUAGGCGGACUAUUAAGUCAGGGGUGAAAUCCCGGGGCUCAACCCCGGAACUGCCUUUGAUACUGGUAGUCUUGAGUUCGAGAGAGGUGAGUGGAAUUCCGAGUGUAGAGGUGAAAUUCGUAGAUAUUCGGAGGAACACCAGUGGCGAAGGCGGCUCACUGGCUCGAUACUGACGCUGAGGUACGAAAGCGUGGGGAGCAAACAGGAUUAGAAACCCGAGUAGUCCCA
rnacentral:rRNA from 1 species